rnacentral:lncRNA from 1 species
UCUCAAAACUCUAUUCCCAGAUCUUUAUAAGGUGUGUAGAUAAAAAAAAAUAAAAACUCUUCUAUAUUGCUAAUUGUUUUGAUCAUGCUUCCUCCUAUUGAAAAAUUAAAUUCAAACACCUCACUCUGGAGGUUGAAACUCAGAAGAACCACCUCUUUUCCCUACUCCAAGAUAAAUUUUCUUUCAACUGGCCCUAGUGAGAUCGUUUGGCUCCUUGAUUCAAAGGGAAUUUUCACUACCUCUUCUCUAUAUUACUUCUUGGUCCAU